GACGAACGCUGGCGGCGUGCUUAACACAUGCAAGUCGAACGGAAAGGCCCUGCUUUUGUGGGGUGCUCGAGUGGCAAACGGGUGAGUAACACGUGAGUAACCUGCCCUUGACUUUGGGAUAACUUCAGGAAACUGGGGCUAAUACCGGAUAGGAGCUCCUGCUGCAUGGUGGGGGUUGGAAAGUUUCGGCGGUUGGGGAUGGACUCGCGGCUUAUCAGCUUGUUGGUGGGGUAGUGGCUUACCAAGGCUUUGACGGGUAGCCGGCCUGAGAGGGUGACCGGCCACAUUGGGACUGAGAUACGGCCCAGACUCCUACGGGAGGCAGCAGUGGGGAAUAUUGCACAAUGGGCGGAAGCCUGAUGCAGCAACGCCGCGUGCGGGACGACGGCCUUCGGGUUGUAAACCGCUUUCGCCUGUGACGAAGCGUGAGUGACGGUAAUGGGUAAAGAAGCACCGGCUAACUACGUG
rnacentral:rRNA from 1 species